UGGGGAAUAUUGCGCAAUGGGGGGAACCCUGACGCAGCCAUGCCGCGUGAAUGAAGAAGGCCUUCGGGUUGUAAAGUUCUUUCGGUAUUGAGGAAGGUUGAUGUGUUAAUAGCACAUCAAAUUGACGUUAAAUACAGAAGAAGCACCGGCUAACUCCGUGCCAGCAGCCGCGGUAAUACGGAGGGUGCGAGCGUUAAUCGGAAUAACUGGGCGUAAAGGGCACGCAGGCGGUUAUUUAAGUGAGGUGUGAAAGCCCCGGGCUUAACCUGGGAAUUGCAUUUCAGACUGGGUAACUAGAGUACUUUAGGGAGGGGUAGAAUUCCACGUGUAGCGGUGAAAUGCGUAGAGAUGUGGAGGAAUACCGAAGGCGAAGGCAGCCCCUUGGGAAUGUACUGACGCUCAUGUGCGAAAGCGUGGGGAGCAAACAGGAUUAGAUACCCUGGUAGUCCACGCUGUAAACGCUGUCGAUUUGGGGGUUGGGGUUUAACUCUGGCGCCCGUAGCUAACGUGAUANAUCGACCGCCUGGGGAGUACGGCCGCNGNU
rnacentral:rRNA from 1 species